GACAAUAAUACCCCACUUUUAUUCGCUAUAAUUUGCAAGAAAGAGAAAAUGGUGGAAUUUUUAUUGAAAAACAAAGCAAGUACACAUGCCGUUGAUAGCCUGAGAUGAACAGCCCUUAUGCUUGCUGUGCACUAUGACUCACCGGGUAUUGUCAACAUCCUUCUUAAACAAAAUAUUAAUGUCUUUACUCAAGACGUGUGGACAAGAUGCAGAAGAUUACGCUAUUUCUCGCUGUUUGACAAAAAUUCAACAACAAAUUUUGGAACAUAAAAAGAUGAUACUUAAAAAUGACAAACCAGAUGUUGGAAGUUCUGAUGAAUCUGCAGUCAGCAUUUUCCAUGAACUGUGUGUGGAUUCAUUGCCUGCAUUAGAUGACGAAGUCUUGAGUGUUGCUGCUAAGCAGUGUGUCCCCGAGAAAGUGUCAGAGCCUUUAUGUGGACCUUCCCAUGGAAAAGGAAAACAGAAUAGUCAAUGGAAAAGGAGAAGGGCCUCCUGCAAAACAUCCUUCCUUGAAGCCUAGCACUGAAAUGGAAGAUCCUGCUGUGAAAGGAGCAGUACAAAGAAAGAAUGUACAGACAUUGAGAGCAGAACAAGCCUUACCAGUGGCUUCAGAGGAAGAGCAACAAAGACGUGAAAGAAGUGAAAAGAAGCAACCACAGGUCAAAGAAGGAAAUAAUACAUACAAAAGUGAAAAAAUACAACUAUCAGAAAAUAUAUGUCAUAGUACAUCUUCUGCUGCUGCUGACAGAUUAACCCAACAAAGAAAGAUUAGGAAAACAGCCUCAGCAAUUUCCCAAGAAACUGAAGGAAGAGCAUGAUAGAUGCACCUUACAACAAGAAAAUGAAGAAAAAACAAAUGUUAAUAUGCUGUACAAAAAAAAUAGAGAAGAAUUAGAAAGGAAAGAGAAACAAUAUAACAAAGAAGUUGAAGCAAAACAACUUGAACCAACUGUUCAAUCACUAGAGAUGAAACCGAAGACUGCAAGAAAUACUCCAAAUCAGGAUUUUCAUAAUCAUGAAGAAAUGAAAGAUCUGAUGGAUGAAAAUUGCAUUUUGAAGACAGAUAUUGCUAUACUCAGACAGGAAAUAUGCAUAAUGAAAAAUGACAACCUGGAAAAAGAAAAUAAAUAUCUUAAGGACAUUAAAAUUGCUAAAGAAACAAAUGCUGCCCUUGAAAAGUGUAUAAAACUCAAUGAGGAAAUGAUAACAAAAACAGCAUUCCGGUAUCAACAAGAGCUUAAUGAUCUCAAAGCUGAGAAUACAAGGCUCAAUUCUGAACUGUUGAAGGAAAAAGAAAGCAAGAAAAAACUGGAAGCUGAAAUUGAAUCUUAUCAGUCUAGACUGGCUGCUGCUAUAAGUAAACACAGUGAAAAUGUGAAAACAGAAAGAAACCUGAAACUUGCUUUAGAGAGAACACAAGAUGUUUCUGAACAAGUAAAAAUGAGUUCUGAUAUUUCCGAAGUAGAAGAUAAGAAUUAGUUUCUUACUGAACAACUUUCUAAAAUGCAAAUUAAAUUCAAUACCUUAAAAGAUAAAAACACCCAAGAAUGAUCAAUAAACAUUAAAAAAAAAAGGUACAAGAAAAAAAAAGAUAAGUUCUGUAAGACAAGAGAUACUCUCAGAAAAAAGUCAUUGGCUUUAGAAACUGUACAAAAUGACCUAAGCCAAACACAGCAGCAAAUAAAGGAAAUGAAAGAGAUGUAUCAAAGUGCAGAAGCUAAAGUCAGUAAAUCCACUGGAAAGUGGAACUGUGUAGAAGAGAGGAUAUGUCAACUCCAACGUGAAAAUCCAUGGCUUGAACAGCAACUAGUUGAUGUUCAUCAGAAAGAGGAUCAUAAAGAGAUAGUAAUUAAUAUCCAAAGAGGCUUUAUUGAGAGUAGAAAGACCUCAUGCUAGAAGAGAAAAAUAAGAAGCUAAUGAAUGAAUAUGAUCAUUUAAAAGAAAGUCUCUUUCAAUAUGAGAGACAGAAAGCAGAAACAGUAGUGGUUGUGAGACAACUUCAACAAGAAGUGGCUGAUUCCCUUAAAAAAUUAACUAUGUUAGAGUCUCCACUGGAAGGUACAUCAUGUUGUCACAUUAAUUUGGAUGAGACACAGGCCUCAAAGAAGAAAUUAUUUCAAAAAAAAAUGAAGAAUUAAGGAAACUUUUUAAGUUAGUAUCAUCACUGGAGUAUAAUGUGAAUCAAAUAAGAAAGAAAAAUCAUGAAUUAGAAGAAGAGGCAACUGGAUAUAAGAAAUUCCUGGAAAUGACAAUAAAUAUGUUAAGUGUAUUUGGAAAUGAAGACUUCGAUUGCCAUGGAGACUUAAAAACAGAUCAACUGAAAAUGAAUAUUCUGAUUAAGAAGCUAAAACAUAAGCUAUACUAUUUUAUUCAUGCAGUUUGAUGAUCUUACAGUAGAGAAGGAAGCUGUAUCUUCAAAAUGUGUCAAUUUGGCUAAAGACAAUCAAGUUCUUCAACAGGAGUUAUUAUCGAUGAAAAAAGUACAACAGGAAUGUGAAAAACUUGAGGAGGAUAAAAAGAUGUUGGAAGAAGAAAUAUUAAAUCUUAAGACACAUAUGGAAAACAAUAUGGUAGAACUUAGUAAACUACAAGAAUAUAAAUCGGAGCUAGAUGAAAGGGCAAUGCCGGCAGUAGAAAAAUUAGAAGAAAUCCAUUUACAGGUUAGUUUUUUAAAUCAGGUAAGUUUAUCUGUAAUAGCAGUUAAGGAUAAUACGGCUUCACUAAAUAAGAAGGAACUCACACUUAAAGAUGUGGAAUGUAAAUUCUCCAAAAUGAAAACUACUUAUGAAGAGGUUACAACCAAAUUAGAAGAAUAUAAGGAAGCCUUUGCAGCAGCACUGAAAGCUAACAAUUCCAUGUCAAAAAAAUUAACGAAAUCUAAUAAGAAAAUAGCAAUGAUCAGCACCAAGCUCCUUAUGGAGAAAGAGCGGGUGAAAUAUUUUCUCAGCACUCUUCCUACAAGGCGAGGCCCAGAGUCACCUUGUGUUGAAAAUCUUACUAGUAUAGGACUCAACAGAAAAUAUAUUCCCCAAAUGCCCGUAAGAAUUCCUACUUCAAACCCCCAGACCUCAAAUAACUGCAAGAACUACUUGACUGAGGUGGAGCUGGACUGUGUAGAACAAAUAAUUAGAGAAACAAAGAGAACUGUUGCUGUGUUGGACACUUGCUCCCAUCUAUUUUCUUCUCUAGAAUCCACUGCGCUGGAAUGAGUCAUUUUUUUUAGAAGCAGAGGUGGAGCCACUGAGGAAGCACAGGCGAGCCCUCCCCAGCGUGUACUCACUGGUCCCCAACAGAAGAACAGCUGCCGCAUCCACUGAG